AAUUUCUGUGCCCCUCUGCCGCUGCCCUGUUUUUGCUGCAAAUCUGCUCUCUUGUCUCUUCCGUGCCACUCAUGGUCGUUACCUCCUGACAUCCGUCGCUGCUGGCUGACACCUUCCAUGUGUAGUACCUAGUCUCCUCCGUCCCUCGGGACCAACAAGGGGUAGUACAGGAAUAUUAACCUGUUGUCCAUCGACUACGCCUUUUGGCAUGAUCUUAGGCCCUGACCUCGCCCUCCGUGGACGAACCUUGCGGAGGAACCCUUAGGUUUUCGAGGUAUUGGAUUCUCACCAACGUUUGCGUUACUCAAGCCAACAUUCUUGCUUCCGCUUCGUCAACCAUUGCUUGCGCGGAUCCUUUCCUCUAAGGCGGAAUGCUCCCCACCGAUUCAUUUUUACAUCCCACAGCUUCGGCAGAUUGCUGUGACGGCACCAUCAGCCAUUGACCAGGCUCCCCGCCGAGCACCACAAACGCGAAGAACAUCGUUGUCGUUCCCUGAUGCUUCAAGCGCAGUGAACAUCGUUGCCAUCCCGAUCUGUUGUUUUAACUCGCACGAAUCCUUUUCUCCUUCGCCCGCAGCCGGCACCGCCGCACCGGAGCAGGCAACUGGCACUGCAGUUUCGUAGCUGCCACCACCACCACAAGCGCGUCGCGCCACUGCUCUGUUCCGCCAUCCGCGGUUCCGCCGUCCGCCUUUUUUCGCCGUGACCCAGCUCUGUUCUUCUCCGCUCUCUGGGUACCCUCAAGCUAACAUUGUACUAGGAUCUGGAUCACUUAUCGGGCGUAUUCUAUCUUUACCUUCUACUGCUCUAAAUGUGCCAAACAAUAGGAUGCAUCCUCUUUCUCUUAGCUCUCUGCAGGAAGAAAGACUAAGAAAUUUGAGGCACCGGCUUGAAGUGCCCUUUGAUGGUUCCAAAACAGAGCACCAAGUAUGUGGUUAAUGCAAGUUUUGUAAUUUUCAAAUCAAUAUUCUGAAAUUCGCUACUAUACCCUGCAUUCUAUCAUAUCCAAUUUUUUCUCUUGUUCUGAUCCAAUCUUCACUUUUAUGCUACUGCUCAAGUUUGCUUUGCAUGGCUUACUUAAUAAACUGUCUUAAUGUUGUUGAUCUGCAAUGUGGUGACAAUAACUACUUGACGUGCAAAUUCAUGUUAAUAAGGAAAUGUUUAGGGAGAAAUAGAAAUAUUUUAAAUUGAGUUGCCUUAUUGGAUUAACC